rnacentral:rRNA from 1 species
AUGGAUCCCAGCAGCUUCAAAAUUGGAGGCCUUCUGCUUCCAACCAUUGAGAGGCGUUGCGCUUCGCCUCCAUCUGUCAUCGUGAUUGGUGGCGGAAUCUCAGGGAUUGCCGCGGCUCAUGUCCUCUCCAAUUCCUCUUUUGAGGUGACUGUCCUUGAGUCGAGAGAUCGAAUUGGUGGCCAUGUUCAUAUGGAUUACUCCUUUGGAUGCCCCAUCGACAUGGGAGCCUCAUGGUUGCACAGUGUCGGUAAUGAUAAUUCUUUAGCACCAUUGAUUGGCCAUCUUGGGCUGAUAUUAUAUCACACAAGUGGAGACAAUUUUGUUCUGUAUGACCAUGUUUUGGAAAGAUGUUCCCUCUUCGAUAAGAACGGCCUUGCAGUCCCAAUGGAGACAGCUGCUAAAUUUGGCGUGAUAUUCGAGAAAAUUCUUAAGGAGUCGGUGAAACCCCGCGAUGAGCAGGAACACGACAUGCGCCUUGAACAGGCAAUUUCAAUGGUGCUUGAGAGGCACCCUGAUCUCAAGUAUGUAUAA